CUCACAGUGAGGGAACUGCCAGAAGGCCCUCGGCUCUGGACCUCAGUGUCCAGGCAGAACGAUGGGGGUGGAGAUGCUCCUUCAGGUACACAGGGCCAAGGCCAUUUAGGGCUUUAAAGGUCAACACCAACACUUUGAAUUGUGCUCGGAAACGGGACAUGGCCUACUCUGGAUGGGGUUAUACUCCUUCUGAGGGUACAGAGAGGGUAUUUCUGGGUCCAUUACCAUCACCAAGAUGGCCCAGAGUGCCUUCCAUCAGCUUUGACUGGUGGCCCAGCUGAGCCCCUCUCUAGACAGGGUUAGCCUAACUUCUGUUGUCUAUGCUCUGGUGACCUUUCGGUUGGAUUGCUGCCAUGCGUUAAAUGUGGGGAUACUUUUGAAGAUGUUUCAGGAAUGUCAGCUGGUAUAGAAAUCGGAAGCCAGUUUGCUAAGCAGGGCAGGACAGUCUGAGUGUAUUAUAACACCAAUUCUGGCAUGACUGCACUGGUUAUAAACUAGUUUCAAAAUGCUAGUCUUGACCUAUAAGGCCUAAUGCCUCAAGGACUGCUUCUCUCCACAUGAACUGACCCAAACCCUGCAAUCUUGAGCUGAGGGCCUUCUCCAUUUGCCUCCUCCAUGAGAGAUAGAGGGUGGCAACAUAAGAACAGGUCUUUUCAAUAACUCCCUGCUUGUGGAAUGCUCUCCUGGCCUUAUUUUUAUCUAUUUUAUGAACUAGGCAAAAUAUUUCCCCUUUGAAGGGUUUCAAGUAUUUGUGGCUGCUUAUAGAAGGGCAGGUUCUUGUAAGUCUUGCCUUUCAUUUGUGAUAGAUUUGGGGGGGGGGGUUAUUGGUUUGUUUGCUGUAAUUGGUUUUAGGGUUUAUAAUAUGUUGUUAGUCACUUUGGGUCAUUUUUGUGAGUAAAGUGACUAAUAUCAAUCAAUAAUAACAACUUGUGGUUUGAUGGUACGCCUGGCCAGGUUGCCGCACCAUUGUUUUCCUGUAGUGAAAACCGUGCUGCAAACACAGCCAUCCAAAUCUAGUCCACUGCAUGAUCUUUCCAAUAAGAGGUUGGCAAGCAGGGCAUCGCCUACCUGUCUGUCCUAAUGGUAGAAAACCAGGCAAUUUAAACUGUCACUGUCUUUAUGCAGACAUCAAAACUAAGAAUGGAUUCAGUUGGUGACUGGUGUAAGUUUCUCAUCAGCAUCUAGCUGAUCAUUAGCAAUGACAAAUCCCUCAAGAAGUCUAGACAUCUCAAGCUUAUCUCAGUUUUGGUUUAUGCUUUCAUGCCUUCUGAGACUAGAGAAUAACAAACCUGGAGCACAGAACUUCCAAUCUGUUAAUGCGCUCUGUUUAUUUCGUACAUUCUUUAUGAAUCGUUGCAGUGUUGAAAUACAGUCAUUUCAGAGGUUAUCAACAGAUGUAUUGGAUUUAAUGAAUCACGCACAUCUUUGUGAAGCCUGAAAAAGAGACCUCCUCCAUAUAACAGCGUAUAAAAAGAAAUAGAAUUUCUGCCAAAAAAAAUAACGCCCUAAGCAAAAUAGACAUGAGUGUGUUUUAAUGGAUGUUUAGCCCUGUACAUGACUCAGAGGGAAAUGUGCUGCAAGGUGACAUUGGAGGUACCUACCAUUAAGGGAUGGAAGAGAAAUUUGAUUUUGCUUGCAUUAUAAUGAGAAAGUACCUAAUGUGCCCUUCUUGAAUCAAUAUGCGAACUGAAACACAUCUAUCCUUUGAAAGGCGAACUCCAAAUUCUGCGUUGCAGUUUUCCAAGCAAGUAAUUUAUAUAAAAAUGCACUUAUUGGGCGAAAGUGCAUACAAAUGCUUAGCAUUUAGUGUGAACCAUGCAAAGUCCAUACUGAAAAUGUCAAAUAGGCCCAUAAAGGUAAGGUCCUGAAAAAGUAAGGCUACAAUCCUAAACACACUUGCUAGAGAGUCAGUGGUAUUCUUCUGAGAACCAGUGCACACUGCUAGAUCUGUACAUCAUCUGAUUUAUUGCAUUUUUAAUAUUUGUUGCUGACCAUCUCAGCUGAUAAAGGAAGUGAGAUUUAAAAGUACAAUUGUAUGGAACUUGGACUGUUACAAACCAAAAUGCAUUUUGAAAUGAAGAUUAAAAUAGUUAUUUCUUUGGGCCACACAAUACAGAACACGAGCUAAUUGCUAUCUCUAAAGGAGUGUCAGCUACCCCAAGAUAAUUUCUUCUUCCAUUGUUAUGAUCUGUAGAAUCAGACAGAAGUGAUUUCUUUAAGAUUAGAAUUCCUUAGGCUCAAGUUAUAGCAGCCAUUUCAAGGGAGAGAGAUUUCUUGGGCAGAAACCCAGAUAAAGAGUUCCUCAGACAUGAGAGAGGUCUUACAUAGGUAUUUUGUUUGGCUUGUAGCUUGUGUACUCUUGUCUUAAUUAGCAAGAAGAGAACGUAGGCAGAGACAUUUCUGCUGGAUAGUGUUUCCUUGGGCUGGACAGGAAUUUUGUAAAUAAACUGGGAAGUGCAGAUACUUUAUUUUCCUUAACAAGGAUAUCCUGUGAACUUUUCUCUCUCUCCAGUCUUCUCCGUCACUGGCUAAAUGCUGCAAGCUGCAUAGCGGACUGUCAGACGUCCCAGAAAGUAGCAUCGUUAAUGGGAGCAAAGGGUCACCAGAAUAUUUGAAGAUUCUAUUUCUGAAUGGUGAGCUCAGCUUUGGAGGGGCUCACUGAAGCAGAUGUGGGUGUGAGUGGUUAAACGGGAAUGCUGGAGCAUCCAGAAAAAACUUUCAUAGUUCCACAGAUUCAAAACCAACUCUAGAGCUACUUUUCCAUUUUGUAGGGAAUCCUUGUUUAUAAAGUUUGAAUCCAGAGACAGAUAUUAAUAUUGUCUGGGGGACAUGGGCAAUAAUAUUGUGUAUGUUUUGCAUGCUUAUAAUUGCCAGCUAGCUAGAAUUUUACAGGCUCAUUCUGGAUUUUACCAUCUUGUUUUCUUGCCAGAACUAGGAUGUACAUUAUUUGAGCUGUUGAACCGCGGUGGAAGUACGCUCACUGUGUUGUAUACAAAUGUACAAUUUCCUGUCCAAGAUUAAGCUAACAGGAGGUCAGUUCUCCCAGUUUACAGCAGAGGCUGGCUAUAUACAGCACAGUUUGGCUGGCACUUGAGUCGUCACUAACUUUUCUAGUCCCUAGUACAAUUUUGCAGCUCUUUUAACAUGGAUUUUCAGUAAUAAAAAAAUAAUAAUGCAAUCAUCAAAAUGUUUAAAUGAAUAGAAGAUUAGUGCUGCACUUAAAACUGCUUUUUUUAAAAGCAGAAAGCUAAACAGUCCAUCUGAAGAUUAUGGGAAGGGGUCUACUUUAUGGGCAGAAUUCAGUGUUGUUUUUGGACGCUAUUUAUGAUGGAGAAAUCCCGGGUAUGUCCGGGAAAUCCUGGGCAUAUGGCAGCCCUAGGAGAUCCACAGUUAAAGCCCAAAUUUUUGUGGUUUUCAGGGUGGAAUAUGUGUAUUCACUUUAAGAUCUGCAGCUGAACCAUAAGAAAAUGUGGAAGGUGGGAAAGCAUCAGCACUCCUUUCUCUUUAGGGGCAACUGACAGAAGCAAUAAAACUCAACAAAAACCAUUGAUGUAACCUAGUAGUUAGCAUAAUGUGUUUCUCUUUUUACUGUUUAUCCCUCAAAUGCAAGCACUGCUCAGCCUAAAUAAAUCUAUCAUAUGCUGAUUUUUUCCCUUUCCUUCUCAUAUCACAACCUCAUCUAUCUCUACAUGUGUCUAUCAUCACCUCUCAAAUUUGGCUCGAAUCUGUAUUUUGGCUCUGCUGAAGCUGUUACUCAAACCACAGCCACUUCCUGACACAACAGUAAUGCCUAUACAUCUGCAGUAUCUAUACAUGAAAGGCCAGUCGUUUUCUGUUUUCUUCAGACAUGCAUUGCGUGCUCAGAAAAAUUAAUCUUAGCGUGCAUCUACAUUUCCCCUGAUACCAGUGUUCAAAUUCUGAUUUUCUUGCCAGUUGGGAUCUUCACAAGAGAGGCUAAUGGAUAGUCCUGAGUAUAUCACUGUUUCAUCUGUGUUUCUGCUUUUAUCUUUCCUAGCUAAUCUUCUAGUAGAGCUUUAUAGUAUUCACAAAAGGGCUUAUUAAUCGUUGGAAAUCGCAACAUGUCUUUGGGGCACCAUCAGUCAAAGAGUGCUUUUCUGAGAUGAGACAGAUCUGUAACUUGAGAUGAUGCAGCAGGACUUUUGCUACUAGUUUUUGGUAGAAUGAGACAAAAUUGAUAUUGCUCUUUAUGGUUGGGUGAAGUUUCACUGAAAAUUAUAUAAACAAUAUAAUGAUUAAUUUAACAUAUUCCUGGUUAUUUAUUGUCUUUUAAAUAUUAACAAUAUAUGAUAUAUUUUGGACAUGCUUUCCUCUUCCAGACAACAAUGUGACACAGUCUUUAGAUGAUAAGACUCGUAGAAGCAUCUGACCUGUUUGAGAGGAAAGUUUCAGAUUUUGUAAAGAGGAUAUGUGAGCAGUAUCCCUCAGAAGUUCAAAAAGGCUUUGACCAUUUAAGCCGAUGAGGCUUCUAUCCAUAAUGAAAAUAAAAAAAGAAGUGAGAACACUAAAUAAAAAUAAGGCAACGAAACCAGAGUGAGUGGUUUAUUGAAUCAGCUAAUCUGAGAGGACAUGUACAUCAUUGUCUAAUCUUGUGCAAUCAGAAUUGACAUAUUUGUUUUAAUAUUUAUGAAUAUUCUUAAAUCUUUAAUAUGACAAAAUCUAUGGGAGGAAUUCAAAGUAGCGCUUUAGCAAUCAUUCAAUCAACUUGCCAGAUGGAACAAACCCUCACUGUUUUGGGGGUUCUACUGACCAUCUGGGCCAAUUUAAUAGUAUUAGUAAUAAUAGUAAUAAUUCUAUACCAUCAAAAAUCACAGGGUGGUUUACAAUAUAACAACACAAAAAUAUAUACAGUGGUGCCCCGCAAGACGAAUGCCUCGCAAGACGGAAAAACCGCUAGACGAAAGGGUUUUCCGUUUUGAAGUUGCUUCGCAGGACGAAUUCCCCUAUGGGCUUGCUCGCAAGACGAAAAUACCUUGCGAGUCUUGAGAUUUUUUCGCUUUUCCCCCCCUUUAUCUAAUCUGCUAAGCCUUUAAUAGCCUUUAAUAGCCUUUUAGCAGCUAAUCCCCUAAGCCUUUAAGCCUUUAAUAGCCGCUAAACAGCUGAUAGCGCUAAUAGCGCUAAUCCGUCAAUGGGCUUGCUUCGCAAGACGAAAAAACCGCUAGACGAAGACUCUUGCGGAACGGAUUAAUUUCGUCUUGCGAGGCACCACUGUACCAUAAUAACAGUAUUGGGAGGUUUUUAACGCUUGUUGUUUUCAUUAUGUUUUUAGAUAUGCUGUAAGCUGCCCAGAGUGGCAGUAUGGUGGGGCUGGUAUAAAUAAAAUAAUAAUAAUAAUAAUAAUAAUAAUAAUAAUAAUAAUUAACAUAAGUUGCAGGUGAGUUGCUGGAUCUAACGAGGAUUCAAUUGAUGGAAUAGCUAGGCAAGUUUAUUGGUCAUGGCCCUUAAGUAUGGGUCGUUAGCCCUGCAUGUAAAAACUUUCUUUUGGUUCUUGGCUAAUAGCUAGGGUGAUGGGAGUGGAAGUCCAGCAACAUCUGGAGAGUUGAACAGAUUAUUCAACCCUGCAUUGUUGUAGAGAAAUUUAGCAGAUAAAGCCUCUGUUUCCCCCUUACUUCAUCUCCUCAUUAUUUCAUGUCCAUGCCAAUAAAAGUCACAUUUAUUUUACUUUAAAAAGUGGAGAAUUUAGGAAAGAGCUAAACUGAAAAUGUAUUUCUGUUUUAUAAUAGUUUCACUCAGGGCUAUUUUUCUAGAAAAACAGGUGCCAGAACUCACCGUGAACGCCUCCCUUUUUGUCUUAUAAUGGCAAUGGCACCCACCUGACAGGUGCCAGAAAUGAGUUCUGGAUACAUCACAUAAAUACUGUUUUUCAGAGUUUACUGGGAGAAGGGCAGUUUCUAAAUUAGUUCAGGUCUACAGUAGAUAUAUUCCCUUAGAUUUAGCAUGAGCAGGCCUCUUGGUGGCAUCUUACUAUAUACAAUACUCAGCUAGUAAAAUAAGGCACCUCCCCCCAUUUUGGUACAUUUGGUACGUUUCUUUACAAAUAUGCAAACAGAUCAUCAUGCAAGUAAAUUCUAAGAGCAGGCAGUAUAACUGUGAAUCCUGCUCAGAUUCUUAUACCACUGCAUUUCAGGGAAGCUUUCGAUGUAGCCAGCUCCAACCCCCAGCUCACUACAUCAAAUUCGCAAACUCUUUUUCUGGAUUUUGAUUAAAACAUAAAUUCAAAUUAUGUUAAAUAUAUGUAUAUGACUGUAUUCGCCCCUCUGAUCACUUUACAAUGUAUCCACCAAGUUGUUACGUGUUCUUGAGUGUUGCAUAACUGGACAGAACAAUCGAGCAGGGAGAGUCCAAGAUGGAGGAACUGCCAAUUCCUAAGUAUUACUGGCUAGGGUGGGAGAUUGUGGGGCACCCCCUCCCUCCCUUGCUGUUGUUUUUUUUAAAAUUCAUUCCCAUUAGUUUCAGUAAGAAGUAAACAAUUAUUGUUAUUGUUUAGUAGUGCCUGACUCUUUGUGACUCCGUGGACCAGAGCAUGCCAGGCACUCCUGUCUUCCACUGCCUCCCGCAGUUUGGUCAAACUCAUGUUAGUAGCUUCAAGAGCACUGUCCAACCGUCUCUUUCGUCCCCUUCUCGUGCCCUCAGUCUUUCCCAACAUCAGGGUCUUUUCCAGGGAGUCUUCUCUUCUCAUGAGGUGGCCAAAGUAUUGGAGCCGCAGCUUCAGGAUCUGUCCUUCCAGUGAGCACUCAGGGCUGAUUUCCUUAAGAAUGGAUAGGUUUGAUCUUCAUGCAGUCCAUGGGACUCUCAAGAAUCUCCUCCAGCACCAUAAUUCAAAAGCACCAAUUCUCCGGCUGUCAGCCUUCUUUAUGGUCCAGCUCUCACUUCCAUACAUCACUACUGGGAAAACCAUAGCUUUAACUAUACGGACCUUUGUCGGCAAGUGAUGUCAACUGUACCAAAGCUUUUCUCUCAUGUUGGCGGGCUUCAGAUACUGCAGAGCCAGGGCCUCUUCUGCUUGACCCACUGUUGGAGUGUCAGUGGAAGAAGGUUUGCAGUGGCCAGAAGACCUCCGCUAACUGUGGACACAGAGAGAGGGGUCUGCAAUAUUGAGUGGCUCCUUAACCACCUUCCCAAAGAGUUCAGGAUUGCUCUGUUAGUCUUCCCUGCUAAAUGAAAUCAUUGCAGGCAAUAUUUGUCAACAAAGAUCUACUGUCAACUAGUACUAAUAAGUGCCAGGCGAAAACAUUCCUUUUCAACCAGGCCUUUGGAUGAUUAAACUAUCUAUGGCCUUUUAAAUACGUCAGGGAGGUAUUGGUUUUUUACUCUUCUGUUAUGUAUUUUGGUUUUUUAUGCUGUAAAGCUUCCUGUGAUCUUCGGAUGCAGUACAGAAAUUUAAUUAUUAAAAACAAUUCUACUGAUGCCUGUUGUCUUUAGGGAAGAUAGUAAAAUCCUCUUCAGCACUCAAAGAGAAACUUAUUCUAUAACUGUCUAUAUUCUGUAACUAUAUAUAACUGUCAUUUCCCUAAUUAUAUGUGGACCCUUAAAACACGUUGCAUUCUUUUGCUAUGAACAAUGCUGGCAUUUAUCAGUGAAUUAAUUAUGCAAGUUGCCGGGUGUUCUAAUCAUUGUGUUUAAUGUUGCUAGGGAGAUCAUCAAGUGAUAUAAAAAUGCUAUGGCCAAAUUUACAGUGCAACCAACUCAGUUUGUUUUUAUAAUGCUUUCUAUAAAAUGUCUAGAGUUGUGAUUGAGGCAUCAAUAUAUUUUAAUCCGUGAAAGGAAAAAAAGCUACAAGAUGAGAUUGAAUAGCUAACAGGAACAGAUUAGUUUAGGAAGAUCACCGCAUUAAAAGCCAUAUUUGCUCAGAAACCUCAGAGCUGCAAGUACAGUUAAUUUUAGAAACUUGUAUUUAUAAAUGCACUUUAUGUUAGUACCAGUCAGACAGAUUAAUUCACCAUACUGAGCUUUCAAUGCUCACAUGGUCGCUUGAGUCAUACCAGUUGCUGGGGAAGAACAGCAGAAGCCUACUGUUUUCAUCUCCUUCUUGUAGGUUUUCCAUAAGAAUGUGGUUUGUCACUGUGGGGAAACAAGAUGCACAGCUGUUCUUACAUUCUUAUGGAACUGUUUGCAUCACACAUCCUUGAUCAGCAGCACACAUGCUUUCUGCUUGUUGUGCACAGUGAUCUGAAUUAGGCUGGUUUUAGGCUGGUGGCAGGUUCUACAUUUUGGUUGGAAGUUUGACUAUAAACCCUUUUGGUGUCGACCAAUGCUGAGGUUCAGGGUAGAGACAGGGACACAGCCUUGUAUAUUAUUAUUAUUAUUAUUAUUAUUAUUAUUAUUACCCCGCCCAUCUGGCUGGGUUUCCCCAGCCACUCUGGGCGGCUUCCAACAAAGAUUAAAAAUACAUUAAAAUGUCGAGCUUUUCACAAAUUAUCUAAAAAGACAACAAAAUCAACUGGACUCCUUGGCAGGUUUUGAAUAAAAAUACACAAAUUUAUUGGUUGAUAACAUGCUAGAUAGAUAAGGUAAUGAUAUGUAUAAUUUUAAAGGGACACGGGUGGUGCUGUGGGUUAAACCACAGAGCCUAGGACUUGCCGAUCAGAAGGUUGGCGGUUUGAAUCCCCGCCAGGGGGUGAGCUCCCGUUGCUUGGUCCCUGCUCCUGCCAACCUAGCAGUUCGAAAGCACAUCAAAGUGCAAGUAGAUAAAUAGGUACCGCUAUAGCGGUAAGGUAAACAGCGUCUCCGUGUGCUGCUCUGGUUCGCCAAAAGCGGCUUAGUCAUGCUGGCCACAUGACCUGGAAGCUGUAUGCCGGCUCCCUCAGCCAAUAAAGCGAGAUGAGCGCCGCAACCCCAGAGUCGGUCACGACUGGACCUAAUGGUCAGGGGUCCCUUUACCUUUACUGUGUAUAAUUUUAUAACAUGCAGAGAAUAAUAAGUGCAGAGAAAUCAGAAAGAGGAGCUGAGGGACAUCCUUGGUGGGAGUGGGGAGGGAGGGAUGGAAGGGGGUGGGGGGAAAAGGGGGGAAAUAAUUAUGUGAUUAUACGGUUUGACAAUUUGUUAUGUUGAAAUUGCUUAAUAAAAACAUUUUUUAAAAAAAUACAUUAAAAUGUCACACAUUAAAAACUUCCCUGAAGUUUUCAGAUGAAGCCUUCAGAUGUCUUAAAUGUCAGGUAGUUGUUUAUCACUUUGACAUAUGAUGGGAUAUACAACCAUCCUGGCAUCCAUGGGCAUCAAGGGAUUCCAUGCAGGUGAGCAAGUGGGCUGGCAGAGAAGGGGCACUGUUCCAGCACUUUGAAUUAGGACCGGAAAGUAAUCAGCAACCCGUGCAGUUGGCCACAAUUGGCAUUAUAUGUUCAAACCAUUGUAUGCUCAAACUGUCUUGCUCUGGUGAGCAUCGCUGGUGGCUGGGAGCAGACAGUUGAAAAUGAUUCUCUGUAGGGAUCCCGUAAUAGGAGAAAAACUUCAGAGAUGUUUUGCUACUUCUGAAAGGAACCCCAGAUAUGUGUUUCUUAAAGAGGUCCAAGUACCCUUUCAUUCCUUCUUUUUAAUGAAAUAGAGGCAGCUUCCAACAGAAGAAAAAAAAAGUAUACAAUUUUCUAUGUAUCUAGUCGGGAAGGAAGGCGAAGGACUGUAUUUAUAACAAUAUGUUGAAUGUGUGAAGAAAAUAAACUGAAAUAUAUACAUAGUAUGUUUUCCCUGGCUUGCAUGCCUACUUUAUCAGCAUUAGUAGAUUCUGAAAAGUUGAUGGUGUCCUUUUUAUGUAGAUUUGGAAGAAGUACAGGCGAUUUUUUUCUUUUACACACACAGGAAGAAUAUUUGUUGUCAUGAAAUGAAAAUAUUAUAUAUAGCUCCUCACCUGUGGUAUAGCUUCUAAUUUAAAGGCUAUUUUUUUGGAAUGCAACUGCGUAACUAAUUUGUAACUCUUUCAAUGUGUUAGGAAUGUAAACUCAGCAGGCUUGUCUGCAAAGAGUGAGGAAGUGUAAGUAGAUUGUUAGGAAUUUGUCUCCAGUUUAUUAUUUCUUUGUUUGUUUGUUCGUUCAUUUGUAUACUGCUUAAUCAUAGCUGUAUCUAAAUGCUAUAUAGGAGAUCCAAUACAAUAAGACUAAAUAUGAAUUAAAACUAUGAAAUUAGGAUUCAAUAAAAAGCCUGUUCACUAAUCAAUGGAAGUUCAACAAGGAGUGGUCCUCAGCUGACCUAAGGUGGAAGGGAUUUCCACCAUAUUGGGCCCACAAUACUGAACCCAUGGCUCCUUGUGAAUACAAGCCAUGCAUCCAAGCCAUGGGGGAUGAUUAACAGUGAAUUUUCCCCAAACCUCAGUGAUCAAGCAGUGGCAUAAGGAAGCAGGCAGUCCCUGAAGUAUCCUAGACCCAAGUUGUUAAUGGCAUUGUAAAUGAAUACAAGAACCUUGAACCCAGCCUGGUAGCAUAUGGACAGCCAGUGCAAGCUUUUGAGCACCAGAACUUUUGAGCACCAGAUGCUGACGCUGUUCUAGCCAUCCUCAUCAGUAGUAUAGCUGUAGUAUUUUGCAGCAGCUGGAGCCACUGGACAGAUGAAGGGUAGCCCCAAAUAGAGUGCACCACAGUAAUGGGGUACUGAGGUUAUCAAUGCAUGAAUCACUGUGACCAGACUAUCCCUGUCCAAGAACGGCUGUAGCUGAUCUACCAGCUGUAUCAGGUGAAGUGCACUCCUAGUCACUGAGGCCAUGUGAGCCACCCAGAAUCAAGAUGGAGCACCCCCAAACUCGAAACCUGUUUCUUCAGAAGGUGUGCAGACCCAUUCAGAGCAGGCAACUGGCCAGUCUUCUUGGCAUGGGAACCACAAACCCACAGUGCCUUUGAUUCUGUCUCAAAAUGGCACCUGAGCCCUGACUGAAGUUGAUCUAGAUACAUAACUGGUAUUCUCCAGGAACUCCCAACAACUGCCCAGUUUUAUUUUGUAUCUGUGAACUAUUCCUUAAAGAUAUCCUUAAAAAUAUCUGUAUCAUCUAAUAUUUUGUUCUGACUACAGUGGUACCUCAGGUUACAUACGCUUCACGUUACUGACUCCGCUUACCCAGAAAUAUUAUCUCAGGUUAAGAACUUUGCUUCAGGGUGAGAACAGAACUUGUGCAGUGGCGGCGCAGCAGCAGCAGGAGGCCCCAUUAGUUAAAGUGGUGCUUCAGGUUAAGAACAGUUUCAGAUUAAGAACAGACCUCCAGAACGAAUUAAGUUUGUAACCCGAGGUACCACUGUAAUAUAAAGUCACAAGACUACUCUCACAUGGAUUAAUUGCAAUGUAAUCAUUUUAUAUUACAGCAUACCUUCUUCAAAGACUGAAAAAACAAGUCUCUUUAUCUAUCCUUGCCAUCUUGAAUUAGAAGUUAUAUUACAUUGUGACACUGAAGGCUAAAUUUUUGUCUUUUAUUUUAUUUUUUAUCUGUGCUAAUUAAUGGCCUAUACAUCUCUCUUUUUGGAAGUAUGUAGUUUGCUUGCUACUGUGUUUUGAACUGAUAAAUCACUAAAGAUAGCCUACAUGUAUCUUUCUGUGUGCUAAACAUUGGAGGGUACUUUCUUCUAAUCUAGUAUAAAACCUUUUGGCACUGUUUUAGAAAGUGUAAAAAUGAUGCAGUACUUGUGGACUGCAGGACAACAAAGAAGAAAGGGGAAAACUUAAUAUUUAUGAAUAUGAUUGAACAUUUAUCUGGACUAACAUAUGUGGCCUGCCAACAUCCAUCUUAACUGAAUGCUUCCAGACUGAUAUCUCCCAAAGGAUCAUCCCUGAGUAUAUCUUUUCCUGUCAUCUUUCCAUUGUGUACCAUAUAUCUGAUUUCUACUCUAUGAUGUUUCAUCUAACUUUCCUCCUUGGUAAUACUUUCCAUAAUGAUGCAGCAAUACAGUUUUUAUGUAUUUUAAAUCCCACUUUAAGGACAGGUGACAGCAAUUAUACACACAACAGGCUGGGUUAGCUAAACUGUAACUUGUGAAUUUUGUGUGGCUUGUAGGUAAUUAAUGUGGGGCUUCUGAGUGAUUAAAGUGAUGAGAAAUGGAUUUGCAGGAGCUCUGUAAUGCACAUGUGAUAGAGGCAUGUCCUUCCUACCCUAUGCUGAAGCCAGUGGUGAAGCUGCAUGCUCCACUACCGGGGGCAGAGAGCAGGCGGGGACGAGGCUGCCCCGGGGAGGCAUGGUACGCCGCCUGUGAGGGUGUGGUACGCCACCCACAGGGGCAUGCCACGUGUUCUGGGGGCGUGACCGCCUGUGGGGGUGCGGCGCCCGGCGCACAGGGGGGUGCGCGGCACAUGUCCAGGAGGGCCGCCAUGAUGGCAUCCUACUGGAAUAGUGGUGCCGGGGGCGGUCUGCUCCCUCUGCACCCCUUUCCUCCGCCAGUGGCUGAAGCCAAAGCAAUCUAGAAGUGAAGGGGAAAGGAUUUAUAGUAGCAGAAUCUGUGAGGAUCUGGAUUACAAACUCAGAUUUUGCAGCAGGUAUUUCAUGAACUAAUAUGUGGGAAUGAACUAAUUUAAGUGGUCUGCAGAAAUCGUAAUCUCUGUUGAAAGCAAGAUGCAAUUAUCUGCCUGAAAGCUGUGGAGAAGGAGAACAUCAAGUGGGGGAGAAGGCAAAACAAGCAGAAGUUAUAGAAGGAAAAGUGAUAGUAGAAGCUCAGGGUCCUGUGCCUCUUGGCAAAUGAAAACAGGUGUAAAAAUAGGCACCGUUGUUUCUUAAGUUUAGGAACUUUAGCAAUCUUUGAAAUAGACAGACCUUUGUCUUCUAGGACUCCUGGUUUAGCAGAUCUGGAAGGAAGUAAUGAGGUGCCUUCAAAAUUCGUAAUGGAUGGUUGGGGGGGGGCAUCUAGAGAAGACUUGCAGGGUAGGGUGAAGGAGGAGAGGAAACAGAAGUCUCAUUCUUAUGUUGUGAAGCUACAAUUGUAGGUCAAUUUCUGCAUGUUGACCAAAAUGGGAAUGUAACCAAAUAUUGUGGAUUUUAGCCACAAGACUUUUUGUAGAAUAGCAGACUGAUUGCCAAUCCGGUCUCCUUCCCUCCCCUGGAUCCUGUGUAGGUGGCCAGCAUGAUGUUGUUCAGAUGAGAAGCUUACAGAGCAAAACAUCAGUGAUUCAUGAGAUGCACAGGAUAUAAACAGAACCAGAAGAAGAGAAUGCUGCUUUGAUCAUCUCAAGUGGAUGCUUCAAAAGCAUUGCUGAAGCCAACAAACUCAGUAUAUGGGGCAAGAUUCUACAGCAGCCAGAGGUGCCAACUUCUAAAAAAAGAUUGUGGGUGCCUGACACGAUGGACUGAUGUCACACGCUCAACGUUGUGAGGAGCCAGGGGGUGGAGCUGAAUGUGGUCCCAGUGGUCAGUGGCCCCCAUCUUCCCCCUAUGCCGCACAAGAGAAAGACGGGGAAAACUGCCCCUGGCCAGUGGUGGUGACAGCGGCAGGAGGAACCACUGGCCACUGAAGCCACACCAUGCCUGGCUCCACAUUUGCCCUCCUCCACCCUCUGAACAGUGGUGGGGCCCAGCCCCCUCAAGAAAACAUUGGGGGGAGGCAAAGUGCUUAUGACAGCAACUUCUUCAUGCACUUGUCUGUGUGCAAAUGAACCAAUUUAAGGUGGUUUGGUGGAUUUACUAAGAUUAGUUGGUUUAAACGCAAGUGCAGUGGUUUAAGUGGUUUGUGCUUGUCACUUGAGAGGCAAUUUGCUUUGAAGUGGAUGGCAUCCACUGAUGCCAACAUAUUAAUAACUGCAACACAAAGUGCAAUCAAUGUUUCCAAUUAAUGAGACUUGGCAGCUUUUCCUAUUUGCAGUGAUUCAAACCAUGAUGCUUGAUAAGUUUUAAUCUUUUCAAUAUUGCAAUUUAAAUAAAAG
rnacentral:lncRNA from 1 species